UACGAGGUGUGCAAGCGUUGCUCGGAAUCACUGGGCAUAAAGGGUGCGUAGGCGGUGUGGUCAGUCAGAUGUGAAAUCCCUCGGCUUAACCGGGGAACUGCAUCCGAUACUACCACGCUUGAGGGUGAAAGGGGCAAGCGGAAUUCCAGGUGUAGCGGUGGAAUGCGUUGAUAUCUGGGAGAACACCAACGGCGAAGGCAGCUUGCUGGGUCACCUCUGACGCUGAGGCACGAAAGCUAGGGGAGCAAACAGGAUUAGAUACCCUGGUAGUCCUAGCCGUAAACGAUGGACACUUUGUUCCGGGAGGUCCUGACCUUUCGGAGCCGGAGUCAAUGCAUUAAGUGUCCCGCCUGGGGAGUACGGUCGCAAGGCUAAA
rnacentral:rRNA from 1 species